rfam:Virgibacillus soli strain PL205 scaffold000045, whole genome shotgun sequence.
UUCAGAGGAUCAAAGGCUAAAAUCGCGACAUCCUGUCGCUACGCCUUUGUGACCAACAUCCUGUUGG